GAUGAACGCUGGCGGCGUGCCUAAUACAUGCAAGUCGAGCGAACAGACGAGGAGCUUGCUCCUCUGACGUUAGCGGCGGACGGGUGAGUAACACGUGGAUAACCUACCUAUAAGACUGGGAUAACUUCGGGAAACCGGAGCUAAUACCGGAUAAUAUAUUGAACCGCAUGGUUCAAUAGUGAAAGACGGUUUUGCUGUCACUUAUAGAUGGUUCCGCGCUGCAUUAGCUAGUUGGUAAGGUAACGGCUUACCAAGGCAACGAUGCGUAGCCGACCUGAGAGGGGGAUCGGCCACACGGGAACUGAGACACGGUCCAGACUCCUACGGGAGGCAGCAGUAGGGAAUCGUCCGCAAUGGGCGAAAGCCUGACGGAGCAACGCCGCGUGAGUGAUGAAGGUCUUCGGAUCGUAAAACUCUGUUAUGAGGGAAGAACAAAUGUGUAAGUAACUGUGCACGUCUUGACGGUACCUAAUCAGAAAGCCACGGCUAACUACGUG
rnacentral:rRNA from 1 species